UACGUAGGGUGCAAGCGUUGUCCGGAAUUAUUGGGCGUAAAGAGCUCGUAGGCGGCUUGUCACGUCGACUGUGAAAACCCGGGGCUCAACUCCGGGCCUGCAGUCGAUACGGGCUGGCUUGAGUGCGGUAGGGGAGACUGGAAUUCCUGGUGUAGCAGUGAAAUGCGUAGAUAUCAGGAGGAAUACCGAUGGCGAAGGCAGGUCUCUGGGCUGACACUGACGCUCAUGCACGAAAGCGUGGGGAGCAAACAGG
rnacentral:rRNA from 1 species